AGGGCCAUAUCUCAGUGGCAGAGCAUCUGCUUUGCAUGCAGAAGGUCCCAGAUUCAAUCCCCGGUAACUCUA
rnacentral:tRNA from 1 species